rnacentral:rRNA from 1 species
CGAUUAGAGUUUGAUCCUGGCUCAGGACGAACGCUGGCGGCGUGCUUAACACAUGCAAGUCGAGCGGAAAGGCCCUUCGGGGUACUCGAGCGGCGAACGGGUGAGUAACACGUGAGCAACCUGCCCCUGGCUCUGGGAUAGCCUCCGGAAACGGGGAUUAAUACCGGAUAUGACCCUUGCAGGCAUCUGUUUGGGUGGAAAGUUUUUCGGCUGGGGCGGGGCUCGCGGCCUAUCAGCUUGUUGGCAGGGUGAUGGCCUACCAAGGCGACGACGGGUAGCCGGCCUGAGAGGGCGGGCGGCCACACUGGGACUGAGACACGGCCCAGACUCCUACGGGAGGCAGCAGUGGGGAAUAUUGCGCAAUGGGCGGAAGCCUGACGCAGCGACGCCGCGUGCGGGAUGAAGGCCUUCGGGUUGUAAACCGCUUUCACCAGGGACGAAGCGCGAGUGACGGUACCUGGGGAAGAAGCGCCGGCUAACUACGUGCCAGCAGCCGCGGUAAUACGUAGGGCGCGAGCGUUGUCCGGAAUUAUUGGGCGUAAGAGCUCGUAGCGGCUUGUUGCGUCUGCUGUGAAAUCCCGGGGCUUAACCCCGGGCGUGCAGGGGAUACGGGCAGGCUGGAGGCAGCAGGGGAAAAUGGAAUUCCC